rnacentral:rRNA from 1 species
AGAGUUUGAUCAUGGCUCAGAUUGAACGCUGGCGGCAGGCCUAACACAUGCAAGUCGAGCGGUAGCACAGAGAGCUUGCUCUCGGGUGACGAGCGGCGGACGGGUGAGUAAUGUCUGGGAAACUGCCUGAUGGAGGGGGAUAACUACUGGAAACGGUAGCUAAUACCGCAUAACGUCGCAAGACCAAAGUGGGGGACCUUCGGGCCUCAUGCCAUCAGAUGUGCCCAGAUGGGAUUAGCUAGUAGGUGGGGUAACGGCUCACCUAGGCGACGAUCCCUAGCUGGUCUGAGAGGAUGACCAGCCACACUGGAACUGAGACACGGUCCAGACUCCUACGGGAGGCAGCAGUGGGGAAUAUUGCACAAUGGGCGCAAGCCUGAUGCAGCCAUGCCGCGUGUGUGAAGAAGGCCUUCGGGUUGUAAAGCACUUUCAGCGGGGAGGAAGGCGAUAAGGUUAAUAACCUUGUCGAUUGACGUUACCCGCAGAAGAAGCACCGGCUAACUCCGUGCCAGCAGCCGCGGUAAUACGGAGGGUGCAAGCGUUAAUCGGAAUUACUGGGCGUAAAGCGCACGCAGGCGGUCUGUCAAGUCGGAUGUGAAAUCCCCGGGCUCAACCUGGGAACUGCAUUCGAAACUGGCAGGCUAGAGUCUUGUAGAGGGGGGUAGAAUUCCAGGUGUAGCGGUGAAAUGCGUAGAGAUCUGGAGGAAUACCGGUGGCGAAGGCGGCCCCCUGGACAAAGACUGACGCUCAGGUGCGAAAGCGUGGGGAGCAAACAGGAUUAGAUACCCUGGUAGUCCACGCCGUAAACGAUGUCGAUUUGGAGGUUGUGCCCUUGAGGCGUGGCUUCCGGAGCUAACGCGUUAAAUCGACCGCCUGGGGAGUACGGCCGCAAGGUUAAAACUCAAAUGAAUUGACGGGGGCCCGCACAAGCGGUGGAGCAUGUGGUUUAAUUCGAUGCAACGCGAAGAACCUUACCUGGUCUUGACAUCCACAGAACUUUCCAGAGAUGGAUUGGUGCCUUCGGGAACUGUGAGACAGGUGCUGCAUGGCUGUCGUCAGCUCGUGUUGUGAAAUGUUGGGUUAAGUCCCGCAACGAGCGCAACCCUUAUCCUUUGUUGCCAGUGGUUAGGCCGGGAACUCAAAGGAGACUGCCAGUGAUAAACUGGAGGAAGGUGGGGAUGACGUCAAGUCAUCAUGGCCCUUACGACCAGGGCUACACACGUGCUACAAUGGCAUAUACAAAGAGAAGCGACCUCGCGAGAGCAAGCGGACCUCAUAAAGUAUGUCGUAGUCCGGAUUGGAGUCUGCAACUCGACUCCAUGAAGUCGGAAUCGCUAGUAAUCGUAGAUCAGAAUGCUACGGUGAAUACGUUCCCGGGCCUUGUACACACCGCCCGUCACACCAUGGGAGUGGGUUGCAAAAGAAGUAGGUAGCUUAACCUUCGGGAGGGCGCUUACCACUUUGUGAUUCAUGACUGGGGUGAAGUCGUAACAAGGUAACCGUAGGGGAACCUGCGGUUGGAUCACCU